rnacentral:lncRNA from 1 species
GAGGUAAGCCAACGCAUGGCGAGGCAUCAAAAUCAUGAAUAAGUGUGCUCGGUUUAGUUUGCCAUGGCAUACCAUGAUUUUGUAUGAAAUUAUUAUCAAUGGUCUUAAGCCCAACAAGGUUGGCACUCAACCUAUUAUUCUGGCUAGCAGUUGGGUCCAUACUAGCCGGCUUACCAUAUGGCCCAAAAUCAUGGCCUGAAGUAUGUGGCCUAAACACACUAUAAUAGCCAAAAG